rnacentral:rRNA from 1 species
GCGAAGUCGGAAUGCAUGCUCGGUGUUGAUGCUGCCCAGCAAUGGGAUGUGCUCGCUCGAAUGUGUGUCCCUUCUCUAUCCACCCCAUUGUGAACCAAGUGUUGUGAGCCGAAAGAGAAAUCGGAGGCCUCGCAUGCAAACCCUUAACAUACCCCAAUUGAAGUAUCAGAAUGUACCUUGCGUUAACUCGCACAAAUAUAACUUUCAACAACGGGAUCUCUUGGCUCUCGCAUCGAUGAAGAACGCAGCGAAAUGGCGAUAAGUAAUGUGAAUUGCAGAAUUCAGUGAAUCAUCGAAUCUUUGAACGCACCUUGCGCCCCUUGGCAUUUCCGAGGGGCACGCCUGUUUGAGUGUCGUGAACUCCUCCACCCUUUACCUUUUUCGAAGGGCAUUGGGCUAGGGAUUUGGGAGCUUGCAGGUCCCAUGGUUGAUCUGCUCUCCUUGAAUGCAUUAGCGAAGCCCUUUGCGGCCUUGGUGUGAUAAUUAUCUGCGCCUUGGUUUAGCAAACCUAUAGGGACUUGCUUCCAACCGUACCUGCAUGGGACAAUCACUACCAACUUGACCUCAAAUCAGGCGGGACUAGCCCGCAUGAACUUAAGCAAUAUCAUA